UUUUUUUUUUUUUUUUUUUUUUAAGGUGUGUUCCACUGUCAUGGAGCAAACGUUAAAUCAUGAAAAUGAAACUAUACCUGACACGUGCUUGACUGAGUUGCGGGAGAGAUAAAAAUGCUUUGCUGAGGGGUGGGGGCGAGGUUAUAAAAUUUCAAUACAUCCAGCUUCCGGUGGGGGUGGGGUGUGACCAUCUCUUGCUAAUGUGUUUUGGCUUUUUUUUUGUUUUGUUUUUUAAAUCAUAGCGUGAUGCGCUUCUGUGCUCCGAAGCUUUUGAGAGGACAGGACUGGGUGCCCACAUUCAUAUAAUUUCUAUGGAGGUAGUGCUAUGAGACGUCCUGGUGCAACAGGACCUCUUCUCCUGUUUCUAAUCAGUUAAUAUUUAAAGACUGGUUAAAUGAUCGUUUCUGAUUAAAUAAAAGUACCUUGGUCAGACAUAUGGUGAAAUCUUCCUUCCAAUAAUCUCGCCACAAGUUGGUUUACAUUUUAAUUAAUUUUGAUGGUUCUUCUUGUCUUUUAAAAGUCUUUUCCGUAUGACUCUAAAAAUAUUACAUGAUCAUUGUAGAAAAGGUGGACUAUAUAGAACUAAGAAAGAAGAAAACUGUUUCUAUCCCUAACAUUUACAUUCUGUUUGCUAAGGCCUUGUUUUUCUUGGAAGCUUAGGCAGUUGAAAACUUUGCAGCUAUGGACUUUUAAAAAUUGCUUACAAACCUGGUUUAGGAGCUAAAACUAGCAAUUGACAGGGAAAUGAAUUUGUGCUUUAGAAAACCAUUAUAACCAACGAUAACUUAUUCACAUGGUUUAUGGGACAGAAUUUACUGUGGCAGUUUCUCUUGAGUCCCUUCCCACAUCUGCUCCUGACAAAUGGUUUCUGUUUGUAGAGCCUGUUUUGUAAAUACGUCUCUACCAUGAAGGCAAAGUGCCCGAACACAUGUCCCUUUCCGGUGCUUGUAACUAAGCUCAUAGAGUUAAUAUUUUUAUUGGUUUCUGCAUCAGAACUUCCUCUCUGUACGCUUGAUAAAACCCUGGAGAAGGUUACCAGGGGAGGCUGGAGAGCAUUUACUUCCCUGGAGAUUUUCAGAAUAGGAUAAACAUCCAUCUGCCUAGGAUGGCUUCAGUGCUGAACAGUCUGGAAAAAGGAAGGCUGGGUCACCUCUCAGGUCCCCCCAAUGGAGGAAUUCUAAACAAGUUUCAGUUCUCAAUAACCUGGAACCAAAGGAAGUAAAGAUUGCCUUGAAUGUACCUGAGCCCAGGAUGAGGUGAAGCCAGCCCUGUUUUGAUUUAGAAGUUCUCAAAUAAAGUGGAAGUUCUGGGAGUUCCCAUUGUGGCGCAGCGGAAACAAAUCUGACUAGGAACCACGAGGUUGCGGGUUUGAUCCCUGGCCUCACUCAGUGGCUUAAGGAUCCGGCAUUGCCAUGAGCUGUGGUGUAGGUUGCAGACAAGGCUCGGAUCUGGCAUUGCUGUGUCUGUGGUGUAGGCCAGCAGCUGUAGCUCCAAUUAGACCCCUAGCCUGGGAACCUCCAUAUGCCACAGGUGCUGCCCUAAAAAGGACAAAAAUAAAUAAAGUGGAAGUUCUGUUACUUAAGUAAAUGAAUGUGUGGAUUCAUGGAAAUUAAAAGUUCUGCCUCCUAAAACAGGAAGGGGUGUGUAAGUGUGUGUGUGUGUGUGCGCUUUUCAGUCUCUCACUUUGGGUAUUCAAUCUGGUUUCUUUACAUUAGCAUUCUACUUUGUCCUCAAAACUUAUUCUUGGCUUGGAGUUCCUGUGGUGGCUCAGUAGUUAACGAAUCCAACUAGGAACGAUGAGGUUUUGAGUUCGAUCCCUGGCCUUGCUCAGUGGGUUAAGGAUCUGGUGUUGCUGUGACCUGUGGUGUAGAUCAUAGACGCAGCUCAGAUCCCGCGUUGCUGUGGCUCUGAUGUAGGCCGACGGCUACAGCUCCGACUAGACCCCCUAGCCUGGGAACCUCCAUAUGCCUUGGGAAGUGGCCCUAGAAAAGGCAAAAAG
rnacentral:lncRNA from 1 species